UGGAUAUGAUAUGAAGAUGAAGAA
rnacentral:miRNA from 1 species